rnacentral:rRNA from 1 species
UACGUAGGGGGCAAGCGUUGUCCGGAAUCAUUGGGCGUAAAGCGCGUGUAGGCGGCUCGGUAAGUCCGCUCUGAAAGCCCGGGGCUCAACCCCGGGAGGCGGGUGGAUACUGCUGAGCUCGAGUCCGGAAGAGAAGUGUGGAAUUCCUGGGUGUAGCGGUGAAAUGCGCAGAUAUCAGGAGGAACACCAAUGGCGAAGGCAGCACUCUGGGACGGUACUGACGCUGAGACGCGAAAGCGUGGGGAGCAAACAGGG